UCGCUGUUUCAAAUGAAAAAUAGGAAAAAACUGAAUUGAUGACGUACCAAAAGAUCAGGAAAUACACAAGCUGAUUCAUUUAAAGAUGUACAGAAAUAUUCUCACUUCAAAAUGUGUAAUUACAAUUUUUUUGUUAAACAGUCUUCAAUUAGCAGUCAAGAGCUGUGAAAAUGUGGUACUGCCCAUUUUCUACUUGGUACUGACACUCAGCAAUAAUCGUAAAUUGAUGUGCAAAGUUACUUCAUUUCACUCAAAUACAGAAAAAAGGUUUUGUAAUUGGCAUUACUAUAUAUAUAUGUAUAUAUGUAUAUGGUUAUUCUCCUUUUACAAAAAGAUUUACAUGCAAACCUUAAAAAGAGAGGGAACUGUUUUUGUAUUACAACAAAGACAAAAUGAAGCAAAAGAGGACAAAAGCACCAUGUGAUCGGAAAGUGUGAUAUACCACAAAGGUAGAACUAAAAGAGCGCAGGCACUCCGCGAUGGGCUGGCCCGGCUUGAGUGGCACUUAACAUUGUCGUCUUUGUAUACAGAGCUUAUAACAGUCAUGCAAAGAGCACAGUAGAAUUCCAACAAGGUGGAAAAGAAACUGAAAAAGAGACUGACAGAAAAGAACAAAAGGGAGGCACGACCAUGUUUUUGACAUACAAACUUUUCUCUGAAUCAAACCUCACACGAUGUACACACUGCUCGGAAAGAAGCAAGCAGACAGGUUUCAUGGCCAAGGCAAAACCCACAGCACGAGCCUAGUUGUUGUUUACUUGAUUUUCCAUUAACUUCACUUCAUGUGAAAGUCAAUACAAAAACAAACAGGGGCAUUUGAAUAGAUACUCAAAUAAAGCAGUCGCAUAGAUACUCCCGAUUCAUCUUCUAAAUGCACUUUCCAUUAAAAUAUUUAAGACUUUUAUGUUAUAUAUAAUAUACGUUUCUAUUUUUGUGUAUACAUUUGAUUUGGGGCAUUCUUGUGUGUCAAGGAUUUAAAAUACAUAAACUAUGAUAAAACAGACAGCUUUUGAAGAGUGAACCCUCUUCAGAAAUGGCUUUUGGCCCAUGAGGUCUCUGGCUAACUCUGACUUGUUGCAUAAAUCGGUUGGUUUUCCUGUAAACAAGAAAAUAUACAUCCUCCAUUGGGACAGUGUGACAGGUAAUGAAAUACUAAAGAUACAUGAUCGAGUAGCGUUGCUCGCUUGUUUAAGUCACCACAGCACAACAGCUAGUUUAUGACUGCACUAAACAAAAGAGUAACAGGGAAUAGCCAGAGCCACACAGCCUUUGACACACGCAGACAAUGGUUGAUCGUGGCUUUGAAACAAAUACCACCCAGAACUGCAACCUGUGAUAUGACCCUCUCCUCCCCUCACCUCCAACAGAGUCAAACAAAAUGACUGAUGACUGAUUUGUCGAGUCCGGUCGCCAUUCCUGAGCAAAGUGAACUUGACACGCGAGACCCAAGGGAUCCAGAUGAUUUGGACAACGAAAGAGGAAAUGAAGGUUUAACCAAAAGUUACAGCAAUGUAGUAGAGAGGGGGAGGAGCAGUGGCAAUCCAGAGGCCAGUCCACAGAUCCCUCU
ensembl:lncRNA